AAUAGAUACCCUGGUAGUCCACCCCGUAAACGUUGGGAACUAGUUGUGGGGUCCUUUCCACGGAUUCCGUGACGCAGCUAACGCAUUAAGUUCCCCGCCUGGGGAGUACGGCCGCAAGGCUAAAACUCAAAGGAAUUGACGGGGACCCGCACAAGCGGCGGAGCAUGCGGAUUAAUUCGAUGCAACGCGAAGAACCUUACCAAGGCUUGACAUACACCAGAACACCCUAGAAAUAGGGGACUCUUUGGACACUGGUGAACAGGUGGUGCAUGGUUGUCGUCAGCUCGUGUCGUGAGAUGUUGGGUUAAGUCCCGCAACGAGCGCAACCCUCGUUCUAUGUUGCCAGCACGUAAUGGUGGGAACUCAUGGGAUACUGCCGGGGUCAACUCGGAGGAAGGUGGGGAUGACGUCAAAGUCAUCAUGCCCCUUAUGUCUUGGGCUUCACGCAUGCUACAAUGGCCGGUACAAAGGGCUGCAAUACCGUGAGGUGGAGCGAAUCCCAAAAAGCCGGUCCAGUUCGGAUUGAGGUCUGCAACUCGA
rnacentral:rRNA from 1 species